UUGAUGUAUUUGGCUAAGGUGUAUGUAAACGUCCGACUUCAACUGUAUAUUUCUGCAUAGUAAACACUGUGUACAAUCUGAAGCCCAAUAACCUGCUGCUGGAUGAGAAUGGGCUGCUGGAUGAGAAUGGGCUGCUGGAUGAGAAUGGGCUACUGGAUGAGAAUGGGCUGCUGAAGCUGUCUGAUUUUUGUUUGACUAAAACUUUGGGCAGCCCUACAGUCUACACUCACCUGUGGUGUCGUUCUCCAGAGUUGUUGUUCGGUGCCAGGAUGUAUGGGGAGGGCGUCGACAUGUGGGCCGUGGGCUGCGUCCUUGCGGAGCUUCUGCAGGUACACACACCAUAAGCUCAGGCCAAUUUAAACAUUGAGACGAGACAAAACAAGUGUGUCUGUAGAAUGGCACUGAAACUAGGCAGCUCAAUUUAACUUUGUUCUGAAAUUGUCUUGUCUCUGUGAUUUAAAAAGAAAUCUAGACUGAGCAUCAAGGUUCAGACUACUGUAUUGUCAGACACACACCUUUCUGUAUACAUAAUUCUGCAUCCCAAAUGGCAAGCUAUUCCCUGUAUAGCGUCCUACUUUUGACCAGGGCACAAGGACUCUGGUCAAAAUUUGUACAAUAUGUAGGGAAUGUGGUUGCCAUUUGAGACUCCACCCAUGUUCACUACAUGUCUGUGGUGUAACACCCUCUGUUUCUCUCUUGUUACCAUUCCUAGGAGGAGACUCCUGGCCUGUGAGUGUCUGUCUUUUCUGUGUCUGCAUGUGUGGUUAAUUUAAGACUAAGCAACGCCUUGAAAAUAUCUGGGUCCUCAAUAAUACAUUGUGAAUUUAAAUAAUGCCUUCAUGUCUCUAACUCUGUGCCUCUCUCUCUCUCUGUAGGGGAUGAGUAGUUGUUUAAAUAGUUUUCUGGUACUCUGGAACAUAUCUUCAGUGCUGCAGGAGACGACCUCUUCGAACGACUACAGGGUCUAUUCACCUUCAACCCCUCCACACGCCUUACAGCUACACAGCUCUACCCCCAUCUCCUCUCAACAGCCUCUGAGGGUGAGGUACAUCACUAACAGCCCCAGCUGCCCCAGCACAACUCCUCGUCCGAGCCUCUCAAAGAGAAUCAAGAGGAAACGAGAUGGUCUGGAGACAAGGAAUGAACAACACAGACACACACGCACAUCUCAGCAUUGGAAUCAAUAGCACAGACAUCAUUAUUCCAUCAUACACCAGAGCUAGAAGGUUAAAUACCUCAUUGACAUGUUUGUGUUUGACCAUGAGAUUAAUGACAACAUGGUAAAUAUUAUUCUGCUUGCUUAUUUAAACUGAUGAUUUCGCUUGUACAAAGGAUUCAAUGACUGGUUUCCAAUUUUGGAUUGGGCCAGCAAGGGCCUCCCGUACCUAGAAUGCAAACAUAUUUUUGUACUGUGACCAUGUUAUCAGAAGUAACCUCGUCAAUUAAACACAAAUAUUCUCACACACUGUUAGAGUAAGAUGGUCUACUCGUAUAGAACUGGAAUUCCAUUAGAAUCAGAGCCCAGUAAUUAAAAGGAUGUAGGCGGUACAAAAUAGCGCAAUAGCAACCCAGGACUAACACACACACACACAGGUGUAGGUGGCGGUACGUUUAACUGCAACAAAAACCGAGUGUUACUGGGAGGUUCAACGUGUGGUUUGGGAACUAUUUAGGUCGACUGGGUUGUAUAUUAUAAUAAUAAAGAAGAAAUUGAUACUCUGAUAGGGAUAUAGAGGGCAUUUGCUUCAAUGGAGAAACAUGACCAGUCUUGCUGUUAAACUUCCAGUAUGGUUCAUUGGACUAGGUAGCUAGAAGUUGCCCCUAAACAGUGGUCCAUGGUCAGGUUUUUUAAAAUCCUCCUAAUGGUUAAAGUUUAGUGUUGAAUAAUGUUAUUCUAAACCUGUGGUUAGUGGCAACGUCUAACUCCAGUGUGGUUCGUGUGGUCCAGUGGAAGACCUCCAGUGUGGUCUAACAGUGGUUCUGGACAGAGCUCUGUAAGAGCCUGCUAGAGCACGACUAUUUAGGUGACGAAAGAAAAAAACAGCAAGACUAUUUUUGUCAUUCAUUUCAUACAUUUAGAUGUAAUGUAAUAUUGUCAUGAUUCAUUUCAUACAUUUAGAUGUAAUGUAUUUUUGUAUGUUAUUU